AGUUCAAACUCUCACUGCGCGCGCUCGUGGAUGUCGUCCAUUCAUUAUGGUCGACGUCCGGCGUCUGUCGCCGGCGCUGAUAUUGGCUCAUGGUCAAAUUUUUUGUCUCAAUCGAAGCACAAAGCCAAGCUGAUCAUGAAUAUGGAAAUGAAAUGGAAAACACUCCUUGUGUUGGUCGAAUCGCACAUCUAAAGGGAGGAACCCUAGCCGAUUGCAAGCUAAAUUAAAUAGUGUAUGGCGCCAAUCAAUCCCUACAACCAUGGGGUUUCUACUCCCUACUUCAGAUACUGCAACUAGGUGAUCUCAAAGCAAGGAAAUACCACUGAAAUGAAAAUGACAUACCGGAGAAGAUGAUCGGAAGGUUCGCCGGGUGCUGGUGGCAUUCACUUGGAUAGCACAAAAUCUGGCUUGGCCUGUGUCUUGCUUCAGGUGACAGCUUAUGGCCUUGCAUGGUGACGGUAAUAUCUGCACUUGUCAUCUAGCAAAUCUUUGACCUUUUGUAUUGCAGCCAAACUAAGUCAUGAUAGCAUAGUCAUGUUGUUGCCUAGCUUGGGCAUUGGAGAUGGAUUGAAUGUGGUAAUUUGUAGGUUUAGAUUGAUGCUUGGCUUGUGCACAACCUGUCUAAUUCCAACUUUGUUGACUCCAACUAGGCAUAUUGGUUGUGAUGUCAAUUGUUGUUAGCAUUUAUGCAGAGCGAGACAAGUGGUUUAGCUUGUUAAUACAUCCCCUGUCAUAUUGCAAUGGUUUAAGUGUGGUGCAGAUGUGAUGCAGUAGGUUAUUGUCAGUCUGGACUGUUAGUUGUUGAACUGUUAAUUGUUAGUAAUGGACCUUUAAUUAUGAUUGUACAUAUGCCCUGAGUUGCUGACUUGCUUGCUAAUCCAAGGAGUUGCUUCAAAUGCAGUGUGCCGACCUAGCCAUGGUCGACAGCAUGUGCUGCUUUCAAUGCCUCGGUUCAUGAUUUGUUGCUGGCCAAUCUUGUACCUGAUGACCUGUACUGGUGCUUGCUUACUUGGUGCAUGAUGUUGGGUUAUUAUAGCAUGUGCACAUGACAUGGUAAAGACCUUGUUGAUGUUUGCAGGUCCUGUGAAGGGCUUCUGACUUGGUUCAAAGAAAGCCAUGACUUAUGCUCAGAUGUGCUUUAAGUCAUAGUUCCUUUGCAAGUGUGCAUCCUAUUGAUCCUGCAUGCACUGACUCAUGCAGUCUUAGUUCACCUCAACAUUUCAUGGCUACCUCUACAGUUUGACAUUAAUUCUGUUUGAUGGCAGGUAUUUCGGGUUUGAUCUUGGCAAUGAUGACAUUCCUUGGUUUGGUUCAAAACAUUGGCACGGUUCGAAUGCGUUACAGGAUUGGUUUUUGCAGAUGCUACUGGUGCAUAACUCACUUGACCACCCCUCUCACUUGCAGGUAUUGAUCUUUGGUUCUGAAACAAUUUUGGUGUGCUAACCUAAUGCAGUCCAGGUGUCUGAAUUUGCUUUGUAGAAGGCUCAUGGAGCAAAGGGUAGUGGCUGAUAUCCAAGGUCUCUUUCUACUUGUCAACAUGCCAAUUGGCUUCUUUGCAAGUGGCCUGGUUUAGGUCUUGGCCUGUCACCUACUGUACUAUAAGGGUUUGAACCUGGUUUGGAUGCAUGCCUUGGCUUUUGCUUCAUCAUGUGGCCAACCUUUUGGUCAUGAGUUGCCAUGUUUCGCAGAGAACAAUGUUAUUCAAUUUGUGAUGCCAACUGUUGUUCUGAUGAUGUUGUCAUGACAAUUUAAGUAGCAAUGUGGUAAUGUUCUUGUAACUUCCAUAGGUUGUUACUCACUGCAGAAAUCAUGAGACCAUUGCUCUAUUGAGUACUUGCUUGUAAUGCAGGUGGUUAGGUGCUUUGUUCCUGAACUAUUUUAUCUAUGCAUUAAGAUGGCCUGGUUAAGCAUGCUACAUGUUUCAUCUUGUAUUAUGUACUAACAGGGGAAUUGUAACAGGUAGAGAGACUUGGUGGCUGCAUGGUUCAUUGCAAUUUGCACACCAUGGUUCACUAGCUGGAAGAUUGGGAAACCAACUGUGCAUCAUGCUGCUAUGGUAUCUUUUGCCGUGUGAGAUGGAGAGAUGGCUGCAUUUUCAUGGUGGCAGGAUGUUUAUCAUGGCGUAAAAUGGCUAGCAUGGCAAAAGGUCCAAGUAAUGGCUUGGUGAGCAUAAAGUUGAAAAUGAGCCAAGUUACUUGGAAAUGAAGAAACAAGGCUAAACACAUGAAACAUAACUCUUGGAUGGUGAAUCAAGGCAGAAUGGGCUAGAUUAGGUUUUGGAUGGUAAAAAAAAGGAAGGUUGACUUUGGUCAAAGUUGACCAAAAGUCAAGUGUUGAACAAAGUCAACAAAAGGUCAAAAAUUCAAAUUUCUUUGUAUUUUCUUUGUAAACGGACAAUGUGUUGGUGAUCAUGAUGGAAUUUUGGGUUUAUGGAUUUUGGGUUGACUUUGGUCAAAGUUGACCAAAGUCAACAAUUGGUUAAAAAUGUCAAUUCUUGUAUUUUCUUAUGUUGAAUCACAUGGGAUAGUUUAAAAUGACAUGAA